UCCCUGGUGGCUCAGAUGGUAAAGAAUCUGCCUGCAAUGCAGGAGAUCCAGGUUCCAUCCCUGGGAGGGGAA
rnacentral:tRNA from 1 species